UUACGGCCAUAUCACGUUAAAAUACCGAUUCCCGUACCAUCACCAAAGUUAAGCAAUGUCGAGCCUGGUAAAUACCUAGAUGGGUAACCGUUUGGGAAUAACAAGUGCUGUAAG